rnacentral:rRNA from 1 species
GAUGAACGUUGGCGGCGUGCCUAAUACAUGCAAGUCGAACGAAGACUGUAGUAAUACUGUCUUAGUGGCGAACGGGUGAGUAACGCGUGGGUGACCUGCCCCGAAGUGUGGGAUAACAGUUCGAAAGAACUGCUAAUACCGCAUAAUAUCCAAGAGAUUAGACGUCUUUUGGAUUAAAGGAGUAAUUCGCUUCGGGAGGGGCCCGCGUCCCAUCAGCUAGUUGGUAAGGUAAUGGCUUACCAAGGCGAUGACGGGUAGGGGACCUGAGAGGGUGGCCCCCCACAAUGGAACUGAAACACGGUCCAUACACCUACGGGUGGCAGCAGUAGGGAAUAUUAGUAAUGGGCGAAAGCCUGAACUAGCAACGCCGCGUGUGCGAAGAAGGCCUUCGGGUUGUAAAGCACUUUUUGAGAGGAUGAGGAAGGACGGUACUCUCAGAAUAAGUCUCGGCUAACUACGUG